rnacentral:rRNA from 1 species
GAUGAACGCUGGCGGCGUGCUUAACACAUGCAAGUCGAACGGAAAGGCCCAAGCUUGCUUGGGUACUCGAGUGGCGAACGGGGGAGUAACACGUGGGUGAUCUGCCCUUCACUUCGGGAUAAGCCUGGGAAACUGGGUCUAAUACCGGAUAGGACCACAUUUUGGAUGGUGUGGUGGAAAGUUUUUCGGUGUGGGAUGAGCUCGCGGCCUAUCAGCUUGUUGGUGGGGUAAUGGCCUACCAAGGCGUCGACGGGUAGCCGGCCUGAGAGGGUGUACGGCCACAUUGGGACUGAGAUACGGCCCAGACUCCUACGGGAGGCAGCAGUGGGGAAUAUUGCACAAUGGGCGCAAGCCUGAUGCAGCGACGCCGCGUGGGGGAUGACGGCCUUCGGGUUGUAAACUCCUUUCGCUAGGGACGAAGCGUUAUGUGACGGUACCUGGAGAAGAAGCACCGGCUAACUACGUG